rnacentral:rRNA from 1 species
AGCGAACGCUGGCGGCAGGCCUAACACAUGCAAGUCGAACGAACCUUUCGGGGUUAGUGGCGGACGGGUGAGUAACACGUGGGAACGUGCCUUUAGGUUCGGAAUAACUCAGGGAAACUUGUGCUAAUACCGAAUGUGCCCUUCGGGGGAAAGAUUAAUCGCCUUUAGAGCGGCCCGCGUCUGAUUAGCUAGUUGGUUGAGGUAAUGGCUCACCAAGGCGACGAUCAGUAGCUGGUCUGAGAGGAUGAUCAGCCACAUUGGGACUGAGACACGGCCCAAACUCCUACGGGAGGCAGCAGUGGGGAAUCUUGCGAAAUGGGCGAAAGCCUGACGCAGCCAUGACGCGUGAAUGAUGAAGGUCUUAGGAUUGUAAAAUUCUUUCAACGGGGACGAUAAUGACGGUACCCGGAGAAGAAGCCCCGGCUAACUUCGUG